GUACUACUCCCUCCGUCCCAAAAUUCUUGUCUUAAAUUUGUAUAAAUACAGAUGUAUCGAGUCACGUUUUAGUAUUAGAUGCAUCCGUAUCUAGACAAAUGUUAGACAACAAUUUUGGGACGGAGGGAGUACUAC
rnacentral:pre_miRNA from 1 species